rnacentral:rRNA from 1 species
UACUUAGUGGCGGACGGGUGAGUAACGCGUGGGCAACCUGCCCCGUGCCGGGGGAUACCGCCUGGAAACAGGCGCUAAUACCGCAUAAGCGCAUACAGCCGCAUGGCAGUAUGCGGAAAGCUCCGGCGGCACGGGAUGGGCCCGCGCCCGAUUAGCCAGUUGGCGGGGUAACGGCCCACCAAAGCGACGAUCGGUAGCCGGCCUGAGAGGGUGACCGGCCACAUUGGGACUGAGACACGGCCCAAACUCCUACGGAAGGCAGCAG